UGCUUGGAGGGUUUGAUCCUGGCCCAGGACUAGCGCUGGCGGUGUGUCUUAGACAUGCAAGUCGUGCGAGAUUCACUCUGGUAGCAAUACCGGAAUGCGUCUAGCGGCGAACGGGUGAGUAACGCAAGGGUAACCUGCCCUGAGGUGAGGAACAACCCGUCGAAAGGCGGGCUAAUUCCUCAUGUGUUGCAGCCUCGGCAUCUUGGCUGCAACAAAGACGCCGCAAGGUGUCGCCUUUCGAGGGGCCCUUGUCCUAUCAGCUUGAUGGCGGGGUAACGGCCCACCAUGGCUCCGACGGAUAGUCGGCGUGAGAGCGUGACCGGCCACAGGGGAACUGAGACACGGUCCCCACUCCUACGGGAGGCAGCAGUCUAGAAACUUGGGCAAUGGGCGAAAGCCUGACCCAGCGACACCGCGUGGAGGAUGAAGUCUCUCGGGAUGUAAACUCCUGUCAGGGUGAACGAUGCCGGUUCGGAGUAACUGCCGAAACGGUGACGGUACUCCCAAAGGAAGCUCCGGCUAACUACGUGCCAGCAGCCGCGGUGAUACGUAGGGGGCAAGCGCUGUCCGGAUUCACUGGGCGUAAAGGGUGUGUAGGCGGACUGGUGGGUCGAUGGUGAAAGCUCCGGGCUUAACCCGGGAACUGCUGUCGAAACUACCGAUCUAGAGAGCAGGAGAGGGAACUGGAACUUCCGGUGUAGCGGUAGAAUGCGUAGAUAUCGGAAGGAACGCUAAUAGCGAAGGCAGGUUCCUGGAAUGCAUCUGACGCUGAGACACGAAAGCUAGGGGAGCGAACAGGAUUAGAUACCCUGGUAGUCCUAGCUGUAAACGAUGUACAUUAGGCGUGGGGGCCUAGUCUCCGUGCCGCAGCUAACGCGAUAAAUGUACCGCCUGGGGACUACGGCCGCAAGGCUGAAACUCAAAGGAAUUGACGGGGACCCGCACAAGCGGUGGAGGAUGUGGUUUAAUUCGAUGAUACGCGAAGAACCUUACCUGGGUUUGACAUGCAAGUGGUAGGGACCCGAAAGGGGACCGACUGGGGUUUAUCUCUGGAGCUUGCACAGGUGCUGCAUGGCUGUCGUCAGCUCGUGCCGUGAGGUGUAUGGUUAAGUCCCGCAACGAGCGCAACCCCUGCCCCUAGUUGCCAACCGGUGACGGUGCACUCUAGGGGGACUGCCUCCGUCAAGGAGGAGGAAGGUGGGGAUGACGUCAAGUCAUCAUGGCCUUUAUGCCCAGGGCUACACACGUCCUACAGUGGCCGCUACAAUGGGCAGCGACAUCGCGAGGUGGAGCGAAUCCCCAAAGGUGGCCAUGGUUCGGAUAGCAGGCUGCAACUCGCCUGCUUGAAGACGGAAUCGCUAGUAAUCGCUGAUCAGAACGCAGCGGUGAAUACGUUCCCGGGUCUUGUACACACCGCCCGUCACGCCAUGGGAGUUGGCAACGCCCGAAGUCCCUCCUUCGUGGGGGCCCAAGGCGGGGCCGAUGACUGGGGCGAAGUCGUAACAAGGUAGCCGUACGGGAACGUGCGGCUGGAUCACCUCCUUU
rnacentral:rRNA from 1 species